GACGAACGCUGGCGGCGUGCCUAAUACAUGCAAGUUGAGCGCUGAAGGUUGGUACUUGUACCAACUGGAUGAGCAGCGAACGGGUGAGUAACGCGUGGGGAAUCUGCCUUUGAGCGGGGGACAACAUUUGGAAACGAAUGCUAAUACCGCAUAAAAACUUUAAACACAAGUUUUAAGUUUGAAAGAUGCAAUUGCAUCACUCAAAGAUGAUCCCGCGUUGUAUUAGCUAGUUGGUGAGGUAAAGGCUCACCAAGGCGAUGAUACAUAGCCGACCUGAGAGGGUGAUCGGCCACAUUGGGACUGAGGCACGGCCCAAACUCCUACGGGAGGCAGCAGUAGGGAAUCUUCGGCAAUGGACGAAAGUCUGACCGAGCAACGCCGCGUGAGUGAAGAAGGUUUUCGGAUCGUAAAACUCUGUUGGUAGAGAAGAACGUUGGUGAGAGUGGAAAGCUCAUCAAGUGACGGUAACUACUCAGAAAGGGACGGCUAACUACGUG
rnacentral:rRNA from 1 species